rnacentral:ncRNA from 1 species
UUCUGCCCUAUCAACUUUCGAUGGUAGGAUAGUGGCCUACUAUGGUGGUGAUGGGUGACGGAGAAUUAGGGUUCAAUUCCAGAGAGGGAGCCUGAGAAACGGCUACCAUAUCCAAGGAAGGCAGCAGGUGCGCAAAUUACCCAAUCCUGAAACGGGGAGGUAGUGACAAUAAAUAACAAUACCGGGCUCUAUGAGUCUGGUAA